rnacentral:rRNA from 1 species
UUGAAGAGUUUGAUCAUGGCUCAGAUUGAACGCUGGCGGCAGGCCUAACACAUGCAAGUCGAACGGUAACAGGAAGCAGCUUGCUGCUUUGCUGACGAGUGGCGGACGGGUGAGUAAUGUCUGGGAAACUGCCUGAUGGAGGGGGAUAACUACUGGAAACGGUAGCUAAUACCGCAUAACGUCGCAAGACCAAAGAGGGGGACCUUAGGGCCUCUUGCCAUCGGAUGUGCCCAGAUGGGAUUAGCUAGUAGGUGGGGUAACGGCUCACCUAGGCGACGAUCCCUAGCUGGUCUGAGAGGAUGACCAGCCACACUGGAACUGAGACACGGUCCAGACUCCUACGGGAGGCAGCAGUGGGGAAUAUUGCACAAUGGGCGCAAGCCUGAUGCAGCCAUGCCGCGUGUAUGAAGAAGGCCUUCGGGUUGUAAAGUACUUUCAGCGGGGAGGAAGGGAGUAAAGUUAAUACCUUUGCUCAUUGACGUUACCCGCAGAAGAAGCACCGGCUAACUCCGUGCCAGCAGCCGCGGUAAUACGGAGGGUGCAAGCGUUAAUCGGAAUUACUGGGCGUAAAGCGCACGCAGGCGGUUUGUUAAGUCAGAUGUGAAAUCCCCGGGCUCAACCUGGGAACUGCAUCUGAUACUGGCAAGCUUGAGUCUCGUAGAGGGGGGUAGAAUUCCAGGUGUAGCGGUGAAAUGCGUAGAGAUCUGGAGGAAUACCGGUGGCGAAGGCGGCCCCCUGGACGAAGACUGACGCUCAGGUGCGAAAGCGUGGGGAGCAAACAGGAUUAGAUACCCUGGUAGUCCACGCCGUAAACGAUGUCGACUUGGAGGUUGUGCCCUUGAGGCGUGGCUUCCGGAGCUAACGCGUUAAGUCGACCGCCUGGGGAGUACGGCCGCAAGGUUAAAACUCAAAUGAAUUGACGGGGGCCCGCACAAGCGGUGGAGCAUGUGGUUUAAUUCGAUGCAACGCGAAGAACCUUACCUGGUCUUGACAUCCACGGAAGUUUUCAGAGAUGAGAAUGUGCCUUCGGGAACCGUGAGACAGGUGCUGCAUGGCUGUCGUCAGCUCGUGUUGUGAAAUGUUGGGUUAAGUCCCGCAACGAGCGCAACCCUUAUCCUUUGUUGCCAGCGGUCCGGCCGGGAACUCAAAGGAGACUGCCAGUGAUAAACUGGAGGAAGGUGGGGAUGACGUCAAGUCAUCAUGGCCCUUACGACCAGGGCUACACACGUGCUACAAUGGCGCAUACAAAGAGAAGCGACCUCGCGAGAGCAAGCGGACCUCAUAAAGUGCGUCGUAGUCCGGAUUGGAGUCUGCAACUCGACUCCAUGAAGUCGGAAUCGCUAGUAAUCGUGGAUCAGAAUGCCACGGUGAAUACGUUCCCGGGCCUUGUACACACCGCCCGUCACACCAUGGGAGUGGGUUGCAAAAGAAGUAGGUAGCUUAACCUUCGGGAGGGCGCUUACCACUUUGUGAUUCAUGACUGGGGUGAAGUCGUAACAAGGUAACCGUAGGGGAACCUGCGGUUGGAUCACCUCCUU